rnacentral:rRNA from 1 species
GCAAGUCGAACGAGAAAGCUUUAGCUUGCUAGAGCGAGUAAAGUGGCGCACGGGUGAGUAACGCGUGGGUAAUCUACCCUUGAAUUUGGGAUAACACUUCGAAAGGGGUGCUAAUACCGGAUAAUAUCUUUUGUAUUGCGGUACGAAAGAUCAAAGAUAGCCUCUUCCUGAAAGCUAUUGUUUGGGGAUGAGCCCGCGUACCAUUAGCUUGUUGGUGGGGUAAUGGCCUACCAAGUUUACGAUCUAUAGCUGGUUUGAGAGGAUGAUC